UACGUAGGGUGCGAGCGUUGCUCGGAAUUACUGGGCGUAAAGGGCGCGUAGGCGGAUAGUUUAGUCAGAGGUGAAAGCCCAGGGCUCAACCCUGGAAUUGCCUUUGAUACUGGCUAUCUUGAGUUCGGGAGAGGUGAGUGGAACUCCGAGUGUAGAGGUGAAAUUCGUAGAUAUUCGGAAGAACACCAGUGGCGAAGGCGACUCACUGGCCCGAUACUGACGCUGAGGCGCGAAAGCGUGGGGAGCAAACAGG
rnacentral:rRNA from 1 species